AAACUCAAAUGAAUUGACGGGGGCCCGCACAAGCGGUGGAGCAUGUGGUUUAAUUCGACGCAACGCGAAGAACCUUACCAGGGCUUGACAUCCCCUGACCGCGUAUGAAAGUACGUUUUCACCCUCGGGUGACAGGGAGACAGGUGGUGCAUGGUUGUCGUCAGCUCGUGUCGUGAGAUGUUGGGUUAAGUCCCGCAACGAGCGCAACCCCUACGUUUAGUUGCUAACAGGUGAAGCUGAGCACUCUAGACGAACUGCCGUUGACAAAACGGAGGAAGGUGGGGAUGACGUCAAAUCAUCAUGCCCCUUAUGUUCUGGGCUACACACGUGCUACAAUGGCCGGUACAGACGGAGGCGAAGCCGCGAGGCGGGGCAAAUCCGAAAAAGCCGGUCUCAGUUCGGAUUGCAGGCUGCAACUCGACUGCAUGAAGUCGGAAUCGCUAGUAAAGGCGUAUCAGCAACGACGCCUUGAGUACGUUCCCGGGCCUU
rnacentral:rRNA from 1 species